AUGGCAGGCAAGAUCACGGUCGGCACCUUCACCCUCCUCGCGGCGCAGCUCCUCGUCCUCACGUCCACUCCAACGAUGGCGAUAUCCAUCCCGCCGGCUACCACGACAGGUACUACCGUCACCGUGCCGUCAGCACCCGCGACGGACGUCCCGGCGCUUCCGUUCCCUGGCGAGGGCGAGGUGGCCGAGGCUGCGGCUGAAUGCUGGAAGGUGGUGCUGCAGGCGGAGAGCUGCGCGGUCGACAUCGUCGAGUGGCUUGCAUCCCCGGAGCUCGCCGGCCGCGUGAGCCUGGCGUGCUGCAGCGUGCUACAGAGGGUCGGCGACAGGUGCCUCCGCGACCUCUUCCCCGACUCUGCGGUCGGCAAGCUCUUCGCUCCCCUGGCUCUGUACAUCAUCUUAGCUUCAGCACUGGAGCACAAAGAACUUUUCUUAGUGGCAUGUGGAGCGACUAAGGAGGAAGCCAAUGGCGUCGCACAUGAGAUAGCAAAACAUAGUUAUGAGAACAAUUUAUCAUGUAACUGGGUAGAUGAUUUUCCUUCUUUUAUUACCCAUUCUCUUGUGAACGAUACCACGCUCGUCACCGUCGCCCUCAUCUCGGUCCAGUUCCUCCUCCUCGGAUCCACUCAAACGAUGGCGGUAACGAUCCCUCCGGGCACAACGACCGGUACUACCGUGCCCUCAGCACCCGCGACCGACGCCGAGGCGCCUGAGGUUCCUGCUGACUGCAUGAAGCUGGUGCAGCAGGCGGGCAGCUGCAAGGAAGACAUCCUCAAAUUGCUCGUGCCCGUGCUGUUCCUCGCCAGCCCCCUGAGCGUGGAGUGCUGUGGUGUGCUCCAGGGGGUCGUAGAUAUGUGCCUCCGCGAGCCGUUCCUCGACUCGGUGGGCCAGCUCUACGCUCCCCUGCUCACUCACUUCUGCGGGAUCCCAACCCCCAGCGGCCGCCAGUAA
rnacentral:rRNA from 1 species